UCCCGACCCUUUCGUUCCCUAGCCUUAGCAAGCCUAUACAACCUAUUUUCCUCUCCUUUCUCCUCUAACCCCGCAUACAAGCUCUCAAACGCUGCUGUCUUAGCAGCCGUAACUGCUAGCUUAGCCUCCUUCCUUGCUACUUUGUAGACCUCCCUAUCCACCCGUUUCUCCUCUGUAUCUUUACUCUCAAUCAACUUAACAUACACCUCCUUCUUGAUCUUUACUUUCUUAUUAACUUCUUCAUUUCACCACUAGUUCCCCUUAUGCCGUCCUGCCC
rnacentral:lncRNA from 1 species